GCCUUCGUGGUAUAGUGGUCAACACACUCGAUGCGUAACCGAGAGGUCCGGGUUCGAUUCCCGGCGAAGGCG
rnacentral:tRNA from 1 species